AUACCCGCGGCCCGAGUGGUGGUCGAUAUUAUUGAGCCUAAAAACGUCCGUAGCCGGUUUUGUAAAUCCUUGGAUAAAUCGACCAGCUUAACUGUUCGAAGUCCGGGGAGACUGCAAGACUUGGGAUCGGGAGAGGUGAGAGGUACUUCUGGGGUAGGGGUAAAAUCCUGUAAUCCUAGAAGGACCACCGGUGGCGAAGGCGUCUCACUAGAACGAAUCCGACGGUGAGGGACGAAG
rnacentral:rRNA from 1 species